rnacentral:rRNA from 1 species
CCCUUAGAUGUUCUGGGCCGCACGCGCGCUACACUGUUCGACGCAGCGAGUCUUAACCUUGACCGAAAGGUUUGGGUAAUCUUCAGCAAAGUCGAACGUGAUGGGGAUCGAUCAUUGCAAUUAUUGAUCGUGAACGAGGAAUUCCUAGUAAGUGCAAGUCAUCAGCUUGCGCUGAUUACGUCCCUGCCCUUUGUACACACCGCCCGUCGCUACUACCGAUUGAAUGGUUUAGUGAGAUCUCUGGAUUGACGCUGGCUAGGGGGCGACCCUUGGCCAGACUGCUCGAGAAACUGCUCAAACUUGAUCAUUUAGAGGAAGUAAAAGUCGUGACA